rnacentral:lncRNA from 1 species
GUCAGCAGCUGGGCCGUCUUCUCAGACAGAUCCUCAGCUAUUUUGAUUUGUCCCUCAGUCAGAUAGACCAGCACCAACUCACUGUUCUAGGGAUUCCUUUAGGUUGAAGAGAAUUUGAGUUUGGAAAGGCCUUUCUGCUCCUCUUCUCAUCUGGUCCUUCUUCUAAGGCCCAAGAGAGGCAGCCAUGCUGUGGGCUGUGGCCCUAGUUCUAGCUUUCCUGCAGGCUGCAGUCAGUCAAACAUCUGGUUUGCAAGGAGGAAUGAAGUCAAUCACCAGGAAUCCUGGGUCAUAUGUAGUCAUCACUUGUGAUAUUCAUGAAGAAGAGAACUACAUCCACUGGUACCUAUUUAAGGAGGGGCAGGCCCCACAUCAUCUUCUCUACUACAACUUUUUCACUUCCAAGGCAGUGGUGGAUUCGGGAUUCAACCCAGGGAAAUACCAUGCUUAUGAA